GAUGAACGCUGGCGGCGUGCCUAAUACAUGCAAGUCGAGCGAACAGACGAGGAGCUUGCUCCCCUGACGUUAGCGGCGGACGGGUGAGUAACACGUGGAUAACCUACCUAUAAGACUGGGAUAACUUCGGGAAACCGGAGCUAAUACCGGAUAAUAUAUUGAACCGCAUGGUUCAAUAGUGAAAGACGGUUUUGCUGUCACUGAUAGAUGGAUCCGCGCCGCAUUAGCUAGUUGGUAAGGUAACGGCUUACCAAGGCAACGAUGCGUAGCCGACCUGAGAGGGUGAUCGGCCACACUGGAACUGAGACACGGUCCAGACUCCUACGGGAGGCAGCAGUAGGGAAUCUUCCGCAAUGGGCGAAAGCCUGACGGAGCAACGCCGCGUGAGUGAUGAAGGUCUUCGGAUCGUAAAACUCUGUUAUUAGGGAAGAACAAAUGUGUAAGUAACUAUGCACGUCUUGACGGUACCUAAUCAGAAAGCCACGGCUAACUACGUG
rnacentral:rRNA from 1 species